rnacentral:rRNA from 1 species
CAGUCGAGCGGAACGAGUUAUCUGAACCUUCGGGGAACGAUAACGGCGUCGAGCGGCGGACGGGUGAGUAAUGCCUAGGAAAUUGCCCUGAUGUGGGGGAUAACCAUUGGAAACGAUGGCUAAUACCGCAUGAUGCCUACGGGCCAAAGAGGGGGACCUUCGGGCCUCUCGCGUCAGGAUAUGCCUAGGUGGGAUUAGCUAGUUGGUGAGGUAAGGGCUCACCAAGGCGACGAUCCCUAGCUGGUCUGAGAGGAUGAUCAGCCACACUGGAACUGAGACACGGUCCAGACUCCUACGGGAGGCAGCAGUGGGGAAUAUUGCACAAUGGGCGCAAGCCUGAUGCAGCCAUGCCGCGUGUGUGAAGAAGGCCUUCGGGUUGUAAAGUACUUUCAGUCGUGAGGAAGGCGGCGUCGUUAAUAGCGGCGUUGUUUGACGUUAGCGACAGAAGAAGCACCGGCUAACUCCGUGCCAGC